rnacentral:rRNA from 1 species
UAAAAGUGCUGCAAGGCACUGGUAGAGGAUGGACUUAUGGCGCAUUAGCUGGUUGGUGAGGUAACGGCUCACCAAGGCGACGAUGCGUAGCCGACCUGAGAGGGUGACCGGCCACACUGGGACUGAGACACGGCCCAGACUCCUACGGGAGGCAGCAGUAGGGAAUUUUCGGCAAUGGGGGGAACCCUGACCGAGCAACGCCGCGUGAAGGAAGAAGGAAUUCGUUCUGUAAACUUCUGUUAUAAAGGAAGAAAGACGGAUGGAGGAAAUGACAUCCGAGUGACGGUACUUUAUGAGAAAGCCACGGCUAACUACGUGCCAGCAGCCGCGGUAAUACGUAGGUGGCAAGCGUUAUCCGGAAUUAUUGGGCGUAAAGAGGGAGCAGGCGGCAGCAAAGGUCUGUGGUGAAAGACUGAAGCUUAACUUCAGUAAGCCAUAGAAGCCGGGCAGCUAGAGUGCAGGAGAGGAUCGUGGAAUUCCAUGUGUAGCGGUGAAAUGCGUAGAUAUAUGGAGGAACACCAGUGGCGAAGGCGACGAUCUGGCCUGCAACUGACGCUCAGUCCCGAAAGCGUGGGGAGCAAAUAGGAUUAGAUACCCUAGUAGUCCACGCCGUAAACGAUGAGUACUAAGUGUUGGAAGUCAAAUUUCA